rfam:Triticum aestivum genome assembly, contig: Triticum_aestivum_CS42_TGACv1_scaffold_603815_7DL
GAACUACUCCCUCCGUCCGGAAUUACUUGUCGUUGAAAUGGAUGUAUGCAGAACUAAAAUCCGUCCAGAUGCAUCCAUUUCUCCGACAAGUAUUUCCGGACGGAGGGAGUAGUUU